AGUGAACGCUGGCGGUAGGCCUAACACAUGCAAGUCGAACGGCAGCACAGGAGAGCUUGCUCUCUGGGUGGCGAGUGGCGGACGGGUGAGGAAUACAUCGGAAUCUACUCUGUCGUGGGGGAUAACGUAGGGGAACUUACGCUAAUACCGCAUACGACCUACGGGUGAAAGCAGGGGACCUUCGGGCCUUGCGCGAUUGAAUGAGCCGGUGUCGGAUUGGCUAGUUGGCGGGGUAAAGGCCGACCAAGGCGACGACCCGUAGCUGGUCUGAGAGGAUGAUCAGCCACACUGGAACUGAGACACGGUCCAGACCCCUACGGGAGGCAGCAGUGGGGAAUAUUGGACAAUGGGCGCAAGCCUGAUCCAGCCAUACCGCGUGGGUGAAGAAGGCCUUCGGGUUGUAAAGCCCUUUUGUUGGGAAAGAAAUCCAGCUGGCUAAUACCCGGUUGGGAUGACGGUACCCAAAGAAUAAGCACCGGCUAACUUCGUGCCAGCCGCCGCCGUAA
rnacentral:rRNA from 1 species